UACGUAGGCAGCGAGCGUUGUUCGGAGUUACUGGGCGUAAAGGAUGUGUAGGCGGUUUUCUAAGUUUGGUGUGAAAUCUCCCGGCUCAACCGGGAGGGUGCGCCGAAAACUGGGAGACUAGAGUGCGGGAUGGGAGAGUAGAAUUCCUGGUGUAGCGGUGAAAUGCGUAGAUAUCAGGAGGAAUACCGGUGGUGUAGACGGCUCUCUGGACCGCCACUGACGCUGAGACACGAAAGCGUGGGUAGCAAACAGG
rnacentral:rRNA from 1 species